rnacentral:piRNA from 1 species
GAUUGAGGAUUGGGUGUUGACGC